UUCCGACCGAGAGAGUUGCGGUGGCACUUCGCGGUGACACCGCAGUGCUUGGCGAUGGAGGUGAUGAAGCCUUUUUCUCCUUCUUUACUCUGGUUCGAUAUGUUACUUUCUAUACUCUAUUUAUUUGACUUUUUUCCUGUUGUUUUCUGCUUUGUUUGUUUUAUUCUAGCCUUUUUUUUUUCACCCUUCAUUCUCUUCCUAACCAAAAUCAAAAUGGAUGGAGGGUCUUAUCCUUCAUUUUCCAUUCUUUUUUUCAUUGCAGCAAUCAUAUCUGCUUAUUAUCAUUCAGCUGAAGUAGCUAUGUCUAAAGGAUCUUUUAAAGAUAAUUUCAGCAUAGUGUUGUCCCAGGACCAUUUUACUACCUCUACAGAUGGACAGGUCCAGUGGCGGAACUAGAAAAAAUAUUGUGGGUGGGCCGAAAAAUGGUCAAUCUAUUUUCAAAUUGAAUUUUUUGCUCCUCUAUUUUGGGUCCGGUUACUGUGCAUAAGCCAAAGCUUAUGCACCGUGCAUAAGCCCAAGAUAAUUGCUUAGCACACCCGUCCAUUGCUUCAUACACCCCCAACAGAUCCCUUCCCGUUCAUUUCACAAAACAAAUCGCUCCUUCAUCAUCAAACAAAACUCGCUCCCUCUUCGCCGUCGUCGUCGCCAUUAACGCCUUCCAUCUUCAACGUCGCCGCCGUUCAUCAUCAGUUCAUCACAUUUCAUCAUCUUCACCGUCGCCGUCAUUCAAAACCAUUCAUCAUAGUUCAUCAUCAUUCACCCUCGCCGGAAAUCAAAGCACAACAUCACGAUAUUAUUAUUAUCAUCAAAACGAAAUCAGCAAUUCAAAAGCGGAAUAUGUGGUAAACAAAACAACUUCUUACUAUCAAGAAAUGGCUCAAAAGCUGCAACAUGAUGUCUAGGUUCUAGAUGAUGUCUUACUUAGUUUUUGGAUUUGUAUAUAGAUAAAUUUCUGAAUUUCUUGUUAUGUUAGUUUAUGAUAGAUUUCUGAAUUUUUGAAUUUUUAAAAAUGCCUUGCUCAAAUAGGUUCUAGAGGAUAUAAUGAGUGACCAAGAGUCAGAGACCAGGUUGAAACUUUUUUAUGUAUUCAUUGUUGAUUCUCUGACAUGUGAGUUGGUGUAUGAAGAAUUGGUGGUUCAUGUCUUAUUUUCCAAUUUGGUGGAGAAGACAUAUUUGUUAUUUAUUAUGAGUUAUGUCAUUUUGA